rnacentral:rRNA from 1 species
AUUGAACGCUGGCGGCAUGCCUUACACAUGCAAGUCGAACGGUAACGCGGGGCAACCUGGCGACGAGUGGCGAACGGGUGAGUAAUGCAUCGGAACGUGCCCAGUAGUGGGGGAUAGCCCGGCGAAAGCCGGAUUAAUACCGCAUACGACCUACGGGUGAAAGGGGGGGAUCGCAAGACCUCUCGCUAUUGGAGCGGCCGAUGUCAGAUUAGGUAGUUGGUGGGGUAAAGGCCUACCAAGCCUACGAUCUGUAGCUGGUCUGAGAGGACGACCAGCCACACUGGGAUUGAGACACGGCCCAGACUCCUACGGGAGGCAGCAGUGGGGAAUUUUGGACAAUGGGCGCAAGCCUGAUCCAGCCAUGCCGCGUGCGGGAAGAAGGCCUUCGGGUUGUAAACCGCUUUUGUCAGGGAAGAAACGCUCUGGACUAAUACUCUGGGGUAAUGACGGUACCUGAAGAAUAAGCACCGGCUAACUACGUGCCAGCCGCCGCCGUAAUAC